rnacentral:rRNA from 1 species
AACAAGGUCUCCGUUGGUGAACCAGCGGAGGGAUCAUUAUCGAGUUAUUCAACUCCCAAACCCUAUGUGAACUUACCACUUGUUGCUUCGGCGCGCGCUUCGGCGCCGCCGAGGACACUUAAACUCUUUGUUUUUAUAAGCAUUUCUGAGUGGCCGAAAGGCAAAAAUACAAAUGAAUCAAAACUUUCAACAACGGAUCUCUUGGUUCUGGCAUCGAUGAAGAACGCAGCGAAAUGCGAUAAGUAAUGUGAAUUGCAGAAUUCAGUGAAUCAUCGAAUCUUUGAACGCACAUUGCGCCCGCCAGCAUUCUGGCGGGCAUGCCUGUUCGAGCGUCAUUUCAACCCUCGAGCCCGACUCUUGUGAGGACGGCUCGGCGUUGGGGGACGGCAGACUCCCCCCGGCAUCUCGCCGGGGACGCCGCCCCCGAAAUCUAGUGGCGGCCCUCCGAGGCGACCUCUGCGUAGUAACUUGUUCUCGCACCGGAAAGCUCAGAGCGGCCACGCCGUAAAACCCCAACUUUUUUCAGGUUGACCUCGAAUCAGGUAGGACUACCCGCUGAACUUAAGCAUAUCAAUA